CUCAUUCAAACAUGUAUCAUAGCCAAUUUGGGCAACAUUCCUCUUCGCGAAAAGAAACGUUGGGGGAAGCAAAAGAACGUUUAUUGCAGGAACAACACUCUUGGGCAUUGAGGUCUCUAGGUAUUAUUAGGGUCAAUACUGAAGUUAACCCUAAAGAAGAAUGUUGAGCCACUAUCUUUGAGGAUGACAAGGUUAUUAAUGAAGAGAAGAUAGAGGAAGAUGAGAUAACAAAGGU
rnacentral:lncRNA from 1 species